GUUGGGUAACACUAACUGGAGGACCGAACCCACUGUCGUUGAAAAGCCAGGGGAUGACUUGUGGAUAGGGGUGAAAGGCUAAUCAAGCCUGGUGAUAGCUGGUUCUCCCCGAAAGCUAUUUAGGUAGUGCCUCGGACGAAUACCAUAGGGGGUAGAGCACUGUUUCGGCUAGGGGGUCAUCCCGACUUACCAAACCGAUGCAAACUCCGAAUACCUAUGAGUACUAUCCGGGAGACAGACUGCGGGUGCUAACGU
rnacentral:rRNA from 1 species